rnacentral:lncRNA from 1 species
AAUGAUCAUCACCUGAAGCUGAGGAUGAACAGCAGCGGUGAGAUUUCGUGUCUCAGGAUCUCUGGGAUAAUCCACACUUUUGAUAAACUUGAAGACUUCCACAUCUCCACCUUCAAAUACUGUCCCUCCCGUGGGUUUGACAGUACAGUUGUUACAGGAAUCGGCCACACACCGUCUCCCCUCUCCUUCCUCUGUCGCUCCAUCUCCUGCACCAGGUACACACCCGACAGCUCAUUUCCAUGAGUGCCGCCACAAACAGCCACACCACCCAGAGCUGGCAGGAACACAGACGCCAUCUACAACAGACAGUUUGCAUGUUCUCCCUGUGUUGUGGCUUUCCUCCGGGUGCUAUGGUUUCCCCCACAAGUCCAAAGACAUGCGGUACAGGUAAAUUGGCCUUUUCUUCAGUCAUCAGCUCUGGUUCAUCUUUCACACAUAAUGAUGUGGUCACUGAAGCUCGCAAUUUCACUGACCGUGAAGCUUCAGCAUGGAGCUAAUGUU